GAGAACCAUAACAUGCCCGAUGAACCAAGUUCUCCGACAGGGUACGGGCGGGGGAGUAGCUACGUGGAGGAACCUGGGAAUGACUACAUGGAUGAUGCUGACUACGAGAGUCCUUCAGAUUUUGGAGCCCCCGCUGAAUAACAUGAAGAUGUUGUGAAAUAAAAGACGACUCUGUCAGUGGUCCGCAACCCGUCAGAACCAACGGAAGCAUGGAUAUUGUGAAAUAUAAACAAUAAAUGUUUAUGAUAAUGGAACUUUACUUGUUUUUCAAUUUUGAACACUGAUAGACUGAUAAUAGAUUUACCAAUGUAUCUCUAGAUAGAUUGAUGAAGAAUACUGUUUUCAGAGACAAUAGAAAAAAAUAAAACAAGCAAAUAAUAAAAGAAUAUAUAUGAAA